rnacentral:rRNA from 1 species
CUUGGUCAUUUAGAGGAAGUAAAAGUCGUAACAAGGUUUCCGUAGGUGAACCUGCGGAAGGAUCAUUAUUGAAAUAAACCUGAUGGGUUGUUGCUGGCUCUCCAGGGAGCAUGUGCACACCUUGUCAUCUUUACAUUUCCACCUGUGCACCUUUUGUAGACCCUCCCAGGUCUAUGUUGCUUCAUUUACCCCUGAUGUAUGUCAAUAGAAUGUAGUGCUUAUGAAAUAUAUACAACUUUCAGCAACGGAUCUCUUGGCUCUCGCAUUGAUGAAGAACGCAGCGAAAUGCGAUAAGUAAUGUGAAUUGCAGAAUUCAGUGAAUCAUCGAAUCUUUGAACGCACCUUGCGCUCCUUGGUAUUCCGAGGAGCAUGCCUGUUUGAGUGUCAUUAAUAUAUAUAUCAACCCCCCUCUUGUUGAGCGGGUUUGGAUGUGGAGGUUUUUGCUGGCCGCUUAAAAAAGGGUUCAGCUCCUCUGAAAUACAUUAGCGGGACAAGCCUGUCCAUUCAUUGGUGUGAUAAAUAUCUACGCUGUUGAAUGUGAGGCAGUUCAGCUUUCCAACAGUCCUUUGGACAACCUAUCAUUUUAUGUGACCUCAAAUCAGGUAGGACUACCCGCUGAACUUAAGCAUAUCAAUAAGCGGAGGAAAAGAAACUAACAAGGAUUCCCCUAGUAACUGCGAGUGAAGCGGGAAAAGCUCAAAUUUAAAAUCUGGCGGUCCCUGUGGCCGUCCGAGUUGUAAUUUAGAGAAGUGUUAUCCGCGCUGGACCGUGUACAAGUCUCCUGGAACGGAGCGUCAUAGAGGGUGAGAAUCCCGUCUUUGACACGGACUGCCAGGGCUCUGUGAUGCGCUCUCGAAGAGUCGAGUUGUUUGGGAAUGCAGCUCAAAAUGGGUGGUAAAUUCCAUCUAAAGCUAAAUAUUGGGGAGAGACCGAUAGCGAACAAGUACCGUGAGGGAAAGAUGAAAAGAACUUUGGAAAGAGAGUUAAACAGUACGUGAAAUUGCUGAAAGGGAAACGCUUGAAGUCAGUCGCGUUGCUCAGGAUUCAGCCUUGCUUUUGCUUGGUGUACUUCCUGUUCGACGGGUCAACAUCAAUUUUGGCUGGUGGAUAAAGGCACAGAGAAUGUGGCAUCUUCGGGUGUGUUAUAGCUCUGGGUCGCAUACAUCGGCUGGGAUUGAGGAACUCAGCACGCCGCAAGGCCGAGUACUUGUACCACGUACGUGCUUAGGAUGUUGGCAUAAUGGCUUUAAUCGACCCGUCUUGAAACACGGACC